CAAAGCAAAGCAUCCCAACAUUGUCCAGCUUCUGGGUAAUAUAAGUAUCAGAGAAAAAAUGUGGAUUAUUCCAUUGGAGUAUAUCUACGGAGAGAAUUUGGAGCAAAUCAUCUUUAAUGCUACAGUGUCUAAGAUACAGUUGACUUCAUCAGUCAGAGCUACAGUCAUCAUAGACAUGUGUGAAGGCCUGCUUCAUCUUCACUCCAAAGACAUCGUUCAUCAAGAUCUCAAGCCUGAUAACAUCAUGGUGGAAUAUAACACACACAGAGCAGUGAUCAUUGACCUGGGACUCGCCAAGUUCUUCAAACAAGGACUGAACUCUGCAGAAAACUUGGGGAAUGAUGCCUAUUUGGCCCCCGAAGUGCUUCUUGGAUACAGCCAGCGGAGUCAUUGCUCAGAUGUUUGGGCCAUGGGGAAAAUAAUAGCAGAGCUCCACACUAGAGUUCGUCUUCCCACGUCCAGCCUCUGUCCCACCACGAUAAGGAUGUUGCUGAAACAUCAGCCCUUCAGCAGUGCUGUGUGUAGGAUGGUGGAACCAAAUCCUUCUCAGAGGACCUCCAUGUCUGGGGUAAUAGAUGAUAUUCGCUGUGCCGGGGGAGCAGGAUCUAGCGGUCCAGUAUCUCCAAUAACCAAGGCUGUACAGCUCAGCCAAUCAUCAUCCACGCUGGCGGUCAGAGGAAAUGUCACGCAGGGAUUGAUGAAAAUGAAUCAGCACCAAGAAAUUACUAAUAAUGCUCCCUUCAACCUGCCAACCACUGGGAGGGUGGUGAUGAACGAUUAUGAGGCGAAAAGUGAAAAAGGUGGAAGAUGGAAGCGGACAGAAGUGACAACUCGAGAUGGAAAGAUCGUUAAAUAUAAAGAUGCCCAGUUUGAUUUUGAUUAA
rnacentral:lncRNA from 1 species